UUUCUCAGAAAAUGGGGCACGUACCCUGAUACUCCGAGAGGGGGUCGAGGCUGGAAAUUCAGAUAAAGAAGGAAUAUGUUAGGGGUGUGGUUGAAGCCAUGAGAAAGUACAGAGAGAGAAAAUGCUAAGGACAGACCCUUGGGAAACAGCCACAGCAAGAGGGUAAAGAGAAGCCACUUCCAAAUUAACCCUUUUCCCAAUUUCCUGUCUUCAGAAAGUGUUGGCUUGCGUUGUGGGGAGGAGACGUCUGUUGGAUUGAUCAGAAUUAAGUGACUAACUCUUGGCCACUCUACAUCCCGGCGAAACGGACGACUGAAACAUCGCUGCUCACUGUGCCUGAGAGUGUGUUCCUUCCUCACUGGGGGGCACUCGUCUGCUUUAACCUUGGCCACUAUGUCUCAACUUUGAGAGGAAACCACGGGAGUCAGGAAGGGACAACAACACUCUGCAGAGCUAGACGACCAAAUGGAGCAACACUGGGGACCCGUCAGACAUAGAAGUUGACGCCAGAUGAUUGUCCCAUCCGAACGAAUGAACAAGUGGUUGAAUGAAUAAUGAAUGAAUGCGUCUUACUCAAGGGAACCAUGGGUAUCUAAACAGUGCUUAGCAAAAGGAAAAGCUAAAUCUGCCCAAACAAUGUAAAAACAAUGAGACUUACCUAGGACUCUAGAGAAAGCAGCACAAAUCCCCAUUGGCUGCUCAUUUGCAUACGCCAUGGCAAUUCCCCCCACUCUCCAGAGAGCCAUGUGCCAUUGGAAUUAUCUGACCCAGAUUUGGUGAAAAUGUGUUUUCUUGUGAUUCAUGGGGAUCUGAAAGGUGGAUGGACAGCUUUCUCUGAGAGGAGUGAUUACACCUAUUUAAAAAUCAAUUACAGUUGAACCAUCUGACUUUUUAGUAUAUGAAAACACUACAGCAAACUGAUAAGAGCUCUAUGGCCAUCUAUGGAGACAAUAAAAGUCAAAGUAGCUUGAAAAAAAUUGAAAUAUUAAAAAUGUAUCUUCUUAUAGGUCAGUCAGAAUUUACCAAAGAGUGAGUUAGAGUUAUGAACACUGACCUAGAUUUCCAGAAGCUUGUGAGCAUGUUGCUUUUUCAUGUUGAGUCUUCCUCCUCCCCCAGGAAAUAUUUGUAACCUACUUUUCUAUUUUAACUAUACAGCAUGGUUACCGCUUAAAUAAGCACUUUCAAAUAUUUGAGGGCACGCAUUGUGGAGAAGUUAAUCUGUUGCCUGGAUCUCAUAUAGGCCAAGGGGUAGCUGAGCAAACUCGUGGCCAACUGGAUGUUGGAGCCAAGACUACUGUAUUUUCAUUUCCAAAGAAAAAUGGUUCCAACCGAUCACACUACCCAGAAACAAGCUUCUCAAAAACAGAAGGGUUUUGUUUCAUUAAAUCUUGGUGAUACUCAUUCUUGAAAACUGAAAUAGAAGUAUUUCUAAUUUUCUGCUUGACACUUUUCUUGAGAGAUGAACGGGACCCACGGCUGGAUGGCAUGCCAAGCCCAGCUCUUCAAAGGAACUCUAACCAAAGGGGAGCCCAUGGUUCACAUAGCCAUCCUGCAUUUCCCCUGCACUGACUCCAGGUGACCCACCCAUUUGGAGAGACGCUGUGCUGGCUGGUCUAAAAUGGGCAGAUAUGCCCAGGUGGCGUGUGCAGUGCUUAAGAGACCCAUGGAAGAAAAAGAAAACUCCCUCCCACCUGUGUGUGGCAAAGGCAUUUUUAUGUCAUAAGUUGGGAAAGUGAGGUGGGGAAUGAGAGAGAAAGAGAGCUGGGACAAACAGUACGCUGAGUCCAAGAUUUGGAGCAUUAAACACAAUGCUCAAAGCGUACAAAACAUUUUAUCUUUUUACAAAAUAACCUCAUGGAGAGGAUAUGAAAAUCCCUGUGAUGGUUAGUUUUACAUGUCAACUUGACUGGGCUAAGGGAUGCCCAGAUAGCUGGCAAGAUAUUAUUUCUGGAUGUGACUGUGAGGGUGUUUCCGGGAAACACUAGCAUUUGAAUCAGUAGACUGAGUAAAGAUCACCCUCACCAAUGCAAAUGGGCAUCGUCCAAUCCACUGAAGACCCACAUAGAAAAAAAAUGCAGAGGAAGGACGAAUUUGCUCUCUGCUUCAGCUGGAGCAUUUAUCUUCUCGGCACUUCUGGUUCUCAGGCCUUCGAACUCCGACUGGAACUACACCACCAGCUUUCCUGGGCUUCCAGCUUGCAGACUGCAAGAUCCUGGGACUUCUGUCUCCAUAAUCAUGUGAGCCAAUCCCUCAUAAUACAUCUUUUUCUUUCUUUCUUUUUUUUUUGUGAGGAAGAUUGGCCGCUGCACUAACAUCUGUUGCCAAUCUUCCCCUUUUUGCUUGAGGAAAGUUGUCCCUGAGUUAACAUCCGUGCCAAUCUUCCUCUGUUUUAUGUGGGAUGCUGCCACAGCGUGGCUUGAUGAGUGGUGCUAGGUCUACACACGGGAUCCGAACCUGCAAACCUGGGGCUGCUGAAGUGGAGCACUCGAACUUAACCACUACACCAGCAGGCCAGCCCCAUAAAUCUUUUUCUAUAUAUCUGUAUCUAUAUGUCCAGUCAAUUUCAACUCCUAGUGACCCUGUGUGCAGCAGAGCAGAACCCUGCUUGGUCUUUUUGCGCCAUCCUCUCACCUUCUGGCACUAUAUCAGACAAUGCACCACUACUAUUCACAGGGUUUUCAUGGCCAGUUCUUUUGGACGUUGGUGGCCAGGUCCUUCUUCCUAGUCUGUCUCAGUCUGGAAGCUCCGCUGAAACCUGUCCACCAUGGUUGACCCUGCUGGUAUUUGAAAUACCAGUGGCAUAGCUUUCAGCAUCACAGCAACAUCCAGCCACUGCAGUAUGACCACCGACAGACGGGUGGUGUUGUUCCCUGAACGGGAAAUGAACUCAGGCUGCAGCAGUGAGAGCGCGCCCAUCUUAACCACUAGAUACAACGGCUGCUAUCUAUAUCUGUAUCUACAUCUAUAUCUCCUAUUAGCUCUGUUUCUCUGGAGAACCCUGACUAAGACAAUCCCCAUAUGAAAAAUAAAGCCACUUAAAAACAGAGAGACUAGCUGGCCUCUGGUCAGCACACGACUGGAGAAGCAGGAUUCAGACCUUCUGGCUCAUUUCCAGGGCUCCUCCGAUUACAUAUGGGAGGUGAGGAAUGCUCCACCACAGCAUCACCUGUGCAUACAGAGUUCAGCACAGUUCUCAUGGAUGGACUCACUGGCUGACCACAUACAGAGUGUUGUCUCUCGCAAUGGGCUAGUUUAUGCUGUGUGGACAAACGACCCCCAAAUCUCAAUGGCUUCAAACCACAAAGGUCUAUCACGCCCAUCACAGGUUGGCUGGACCUCCAAAUCCAGGUCUCCUCACUCCAGAACUGACGGAGGAGCCGCCAUCUUGAACACUGCCAGUUGCCUCACGCAACUCAUUGGACGGAACUAGUCACAAGGGGCCACCCAACAAGAAGACCAGGAAGUGCUUCCCUUGGUAGGGGGAGGGGCUGGAAAUAUUGGCAACUGGCUGUAUGGUCACCACAGUGGUUAUUGUGCCAGAGGCUGUAUUAAGCAGCUCACAUUAGGCAUACUUAGCAUUUUUAAUACUCAAGGUAAUUACUGUUAUUAUCCCCAUUUUGCAGGUGAGAAACUGAGUCUUAGAAAGUUAAGGACCUUGCACUAGGUCCUUAUAGUAGAAGGUGACUGCCGAUAGGAGACAAUGUGGACUCUGCCAAACAGCAUGCAGCCUGGGAGUGAGGGAAGACAGGGCGAAAUGAGGCUGCUCCUCUCCCAGGACCACGGUGUCAUGUGGGGAGCCUCCCACCUCCUGACCUGUGCUCAGCCCUCCAGAUCCUGCCUCCACUAUGGGCAGACACCAGAGGCUGAGGUUCCAUUCUGGUUCUCAAAACAACGGAUAUGGAGGCUUCUGGAAAUGGCAGGCCUGCCAAACCAGCAGCCAGGAAUAGCCAUGCAUUCGUUCAGCAAGCAUCUACUGAGUGUAACUCGAGUGGGUUCCAGGGAAUUCAGACCUGCUCGGGGGUGUCUGAUGAAACAGAAUGAUCCUUAGGCCAAUGGAAUUCAAGGUCACCAGUUGAUUAGCAUGGAUCAUUAAGGGAAAGGUGGUGGGCAGGAGUCCACACAGGAGACGGGUGAGGAAAGCAAAGGGGGUUCAUAAUGGCUAAUGUUUCUUGAGAAUAUACUAUGGGCCAGGCCCAGUCUAAGUCUUGUAAUUACAUGAAUGAACUCA
ensembl:lncRNA